GGACUACAAGGGUUUCUAAUCCUGUUUGCUCCCCACGCUUUCGCGCCUCAGCGUCAGUCUCGGUCCAGAGCGCCGCCUUCGCCACCGGUGUUCUUCCCAAUAUCUACGAAUUUCACCUCUACACUGGGAAUUCCACGCUCCUCUCCCGAUCUCUAGCCAGCCCGUUUCGAGCGCAAUUCCCAGGUUGAGCCCGGGGCUUUCACACUCGACAUGACCGGCCGCCUGCGCGCCCUUUACGCCCAGUAAAUCCGAACAACGCUCGCCCCCUUCGUAUUACCGCGGCGGCUGGCAC
rnacentral:rRNA from 1 species